GCCGGAAUGGCUCAGUGGUAGUUCGUCUCUCCACCCGUGAUUCCACCUCCAACAAUUCACUAACCUCCCCCAGGAGCGUCGCACUCGUACAUCUGCGAAAUGCGAAGGCCCACGGUUCGAUCCCGUGUUUCGGCA